rnacentral:lncRNA from 1 species
GUCACCCUGCCCCGCUCUCCGCUCUCCGCUCUCCGGGGCUCUGUCCCUGAUGCUUCUCCCCUCCCAGGAGUCCCAGGCCCACUGCUGUGCCCCACCCCCACCAGCGUAGCUGUCGCCUGGUGGAGAGACGGUCAGUGCUCCCCACUCCUCUCCUCCAGCAGAGAGGGAGCCAUCUUCCCCUCAUCCCUGCCAGGCAGGCUGGCACCAGGGGAGACAGGCUGGGCCAGAGCUCCGGCAAGGCGGUGGUGCCCAGACAGGGGGCCUAGAAUAGCUUGGGCCCUCCCCGGACCCGGACAGGGGGCAGACGGUAGGGCAAGGGAGUGGGGUGCCGGCUUUGAAAGAGGAGAGAAGAAUCUGGCCCCGCAGCCAAGCUCAGCAAGAGCCAGACAGCGGUGCCUGCAGCCUGGUGGGGGCAGGGGGGCACCCCCUCCCCCUCUCCCUCUGGUCAGAACCCAGGUCACAGCCCCUGCCCCAUCCUGGAGGUCAGUGAAGAAAUCCGGGCAGCCAGGGAGGGGACAGGUGCCUGGGGGAGGGAAACAGUGCGCCCUAGGGUGCAGACACCAAGCGGACACCCCUAGGCCCACCCGGUGGGGGCAGGGUGGCGAGUGCCUCCGGGCUCUCACGGCCUCCCCCUCCGCGGGCAUCUCCAGCAGCCCCCAGCGAGGACGACCCUGCCCCAACCCCGCAGGGCCCCAGCCGGUUCCAAGGUCGCGGCAGCAGGGCGAUCGCCGCCGCCCAGAAGACCGCUCCCCCCGCCGCCGCCACCGCAUAAACAAGCGCCACCGCGGUGCCCCCACCCCAGCCCCUGUCGCCCGCGGGGACCGAACCCUGGUGCCGGUCCGGGCGCGUGGGAUGGCUGGCCGAAGCCCGGGGCGAGCAGCGCAGCCUGGCCAGGCGCCUCCCUGGCCCCUCUCUGCCUCCAGGUCCGGUGCCCCGAGAGAGGGCCCUCUGCGGAAAGCUGGGGAUGGAGCCGGAGACCCGGAGGCCGAGCGUCCUUACCCAGAGCCGAGAUCUCAGCCAGAGGGACUAGCGGCGCCGGCGCGGCGGUUUUAUCUCUCCGGGAGGGGGUCCACCUAUUGA